GUAGGGAAUUUUCGUCAAUGGGCGCAAGCCUGAACGAGCAAUGCCGCGUGAGUGAAGAAGCUCUUCGGAGUGUAAAGCUCUAUCAGCAGGGAAGAAAAUGACGGUACCUGACUAAGAAGCCCCGGCUAACUACGUGCCAGCAGCCGCGGUAAUACGUAGGUGGCGAGCGUUAUCCGGAAUGAUUGGGCGUAAAGGGUGCGCAGGCGGCCUGUCAAGUCUGAAGUGAAAUAUACAAGCUCAACUUGUAUAGGCUUUGGAAACUGGCAGGCUUGAGGACAGCAGAGGGCGGUGGAACUCCAUGUGUAGCGGUAAAAUGCGUAGAUAUAUGGAAGAACACCAGUGGCGAAGGCGGCCGCCUGGACUGUUACUGACGCUCAGGCACGAAAGCGUGGGGAGCAAAUAGGA
rnacentral:rRNA from 1 species